rnacentral:rRNA from 1 species
AUUUUCUGCAAUGGGGGCAACCCUGACCGAGCGACGCCGCGUGAGUGAAGAAGGCCUUCGGGUUGUAUAGCUCUCUUGUAAGGGAGGAACCGUAGUGAGAGGGAAUGAUCACUACAUGACGGUACCUUACCAGAAAGCCACGGCUAACUACGUGCCAGCAGCCGCGGUAAUACGUAGGUGGCAAGCUUUAUCCGGAAGUAUUGGGCGUAAAGGGAGCGCAGGGGGUUUAAUAAGUCUGGUGUUAAAAAACGGAGCUAAACUUCGUGAUGCAUUAGAAACUGGUAGACUAGAGUGGAGGAGAGGUGAGUGGAAUUCCAUGUGUAGCGUUAAAAUGCGAAGAUAUAUGGAGGAACACCAGUGGCGAAGGCGGCUCACUGGCCUGUAACGGACGCUGAGGCUCGAAAGCGUGGGGAGCAAAUA